CCUCUCCAAAACGCUGGGAUAGGUCCCUCGUACCACUUAAAAAUUUUCAGACUUCCCACUUAUUUUUUUCACCUUCCCACAACUUUGGCCUCUCGUUUUUGGUUUCCCUCUUCUUUGCUUCAGAUGUUUUCCUCUCACCCACAUUUUCUCUCCCUCUCUCUCUUCCUUAACCCAUUUCCCCUCCUCCUCUCUUCUUCUUUACUCAAAACCCACCAUUUUUUUUCCAAAAUUUCAAACACAAAAAUAUUACCCAAAACCACAAACCCUACCCAAAGCAAGGUGGCAGUAGUGCUAACAAAAAUUUUCUCUAAGGUUUACAUCAGAAAUCGUUAAUCUACCUCUGUACAAAGCAAGGUAAGUCUCUCUAGCUCUCAUUUCUAUUUUGUAGCAAUAUUUGUAUAUAUAUUUGUUGUUAAAUUUCUGGUUUUUUAUUUUUGAUUUUGGUUGAAGUUUGGUUUGGGUUAUGUGUAUAUUUUUGUGUAACUGUUGGUUGAUUGUAUGGGUUUUAAUUUUGGUUUUGGUUAAAGUUUAGUUCAUUUUGUGGCUUUUUAUUUUUGAUUUUGGUUAAAGUUUGCUUUAUUUUGGAAGAACUGUAGGUGGCAGUAGUGCUAACAAAAAUUUUCUCUAAGGUUUACAUUAGAAAUCGUUAAUCUGCCUCUGUACAAAACAAGGCUAUUUCUGUGGCUGAAAGAGUUGCUGAUGAGUGUUGUGAACCUUCACCAGACUAACAUUACUGCCAUAGAUAAAACAGUAAUGGUUGUGUUGGAUAUUGAGAGACUUGCACAAUCCUCAGAUAGAGGUUGGGGGAGCCCAAAAGUGACUGAGUGGCAGCUUGUUUGAAGUUUACAUUCUUCUUUCCGUGGGCAAACACUGGGAUUGCCAAAGGGUGAGUAAGAUCUACUUCUUAAUUCCCUUAAAUUGUAAAAUAAUGUGGUGGGUUGUUGUUUAGGAGCAAGCAGGUGGCUUGCAUGGAGAGAAAAGGUGGAAUAUAUUGGGAGUGUUGUUUGUUUUGUGAAUGUUAACAUAUUGUUGUUCAAUUUGUUGUCAAUUUCUUGUAUUUUUUCUAAGCAAAUACAUAUAGUAUGCUGUGGUGGGUGGUUGUUGGAGAGAAAAGGUGGAGUAUUUUCUAUUAGGAGUAUUGUUUGUUUUGUGACUUAUAUUUUUGAAACUCAAUGUGCAAUGGUGAAAUUGUAGUGUAGGUGCGCCUCAUAACACCCUAGACACUUGGGAUGUUUUAUUUUGUGUAUAUAUAACAUUCUAGACAUUUGGGAUGUAAUUAUAGAUAUGGUGUAAUUAAAUAUAUUUAGUUUCUUGGUUUAA